ACGAAAUUAGCUUCACCUGCGCGUAGGAAGGCAAAAAAUGUGUCUUUUUUUUUCGCAGCCAAACAAAAAAUCAGUUUCACUUACAACCCUCUCGCAUGCGAAGAGCAAGAUCGUCUCCACUAUUGCGAAUCACAGUUGAAAAAGGAAAACGUCGGCGAGUUAACAUGGGUGACAGCGGCCGAAGUUGGAUAAUCAAAAGUAAGAUUACGGUGGACUAUUCACGGUAACGGCGGCGCGAUCUCAUAUCCAAAAAGGAAUGAAUCAAGAUCUUAUUGGAAGGGGUAACUGCCAAAGUUACAAAAGAAGUUUCUGGGCCCGUGCGGGAGGAGGGGGAGAUAAACUGAUGUAUGAUGCAACCGAGGUGUCUAUACUAUAUAAUAAAUGUAAAUAGUAUAGGAAAAGAGGAGAAACUGGUUAACAUACAUGAGGGUUACCUCUUGUGGCAAUGCUUAUGCAACAGAGAGCCUAAAUCAGUACGCCUCACUCACAAAUGAGUCACUUGCAGUUGCAGCCAUAUCGACGUUCACCCCGGCCAACUCCCAUAGUGACAUGUAGGAUGAAACCCUGAUGUUGUUCUUUAUCUACUCAUAUACUACUUAUAUUGACUUGUUGGAUGGAACCCCUAUGUUUUCUGUGUACUUUUACAAUAUUUACUUGCACGCCGUAUCUAAUUUCAGGUUUCUUAUGUAUUCUAUGCAACACAUAUGUACUAUUGUAGUGUCAUCUAUAUAGCAAUUAUUACAACACAC